GAGAGCAAAAAACACUUGUGAGACAUUGAGCUAACAUUUGUAGCAAUUGUCACAGAAUAAAGCUGUCAAUUGAAGAGACAGGUGCUUGCUUACAUUACAUGCACUUAGAACGGUCAAAGACAAUUCGCUUUCUACUUGAUCUCAUGAGCAAGCUUAGGUCCCAUGGACAAGUCCACCCAGAAGAGCAGACACCACACUUGGGGGAAGAGCAGCAUUCAACUAAGCUGUGAGAGACAACUUCCAAAAGGAAGAACAGAGCUUAUCCUGAUGGCUGAACAUCCGCUUAUGGCUUAACCCCAUACUAAAGCAGGCUGCAGACGGGGCGAGAAAGGAAAGGAACCAGAGCACUCCUCUCCAGCCAGAGGAGCCAUACACUGAGUCAGACCCCAGCGCUGCAAGCACGGGAGCCUCUCCGGGAAGCUGGACUAGGAGUAGGGAUCAUUCAAAACGUGUCACACACCAAAAAAAAAAAGAAAGAAAAAAAAAAAGAAUUA